UACUUUACCACUGCGCCUCAUCUGUCUGCUUAGACCUGCACUGUGCAAAAGCAAUGUGACAUGCAAGCUGUGUAUGUCAUUUAGAAUUGCCUAGUAACCACAUUUAAAAAAAGGAAACAGAAAGAGGUGAAAUUGAUUUUAAUAUUAUAUUUUAAUGCGCUAUAUCCAAAAUGUCAUUUCAACAAGUAAUCAGUAUUUUAAAAAUUGUUGGAGAAAUAUUUUACAUUCUUGUUUUAAUAUUAAGACAACAAAAUCUAACCUGUAGUUUACAUUUACAGCACAUCUCAAUUUGGACGAGUUUCACUUUGAGUUCUUCAUGGCUGCAUGUGGCCAGUGAACACCAUAUUAGAUGACACAUGACAAGAGACUGGAUAUUAAUAUUGAUAGUAAUAGCUAAUGCUUACUGUGUCUUUACAACAUGCCCAGCACUCUACCAAACCUCUAAGACUUUUCGUGCAUUAUCAAACUUAAUCUCACAGCAAUCCCAUAAACCAGGGACUGUUUCUAAUCCCAUGGUGCAAAUGAAGAAAAUCUGAGAUUAAGCCCAAUGUGACACAAGCAAUUCAGUGGUAUAGCUCGGGCUAGAACCAGACUGGUGUAUGCAGGCCCAUCUCCUAACCUAUGAAACGCUUAAUAAAUAUGGCAUUUGCUAAUCCUCAGAUGCUACACAUUGAAAAUACAUGUGAGGGUGAAAAAAUGGAUAACAUAGCCAAAAAGUUCUGUUGAGUCAAUUCAUGUUUCAAAAGUCAUCAGAGAGAACAGUCAUAUCCUUCCAGAAAAUACCCCCCUGUCCCACGGCCAAAGAAUGGUCCUGGGUUCAAUGAAUGGCAAGCCCAACAAAGAGUAAUAUUUAUUAUGUUUUCAAGCUUUGAAAGCUUCAAAAAAAAUUAGUUUGUAGAAAGUUACUUUUCAACUGAUUUGACAGACAAUUAAGAUCAAACUGUUUCCCUUCUUGGUCUCUUUAUUCAACGAGCUGUGUUAGCCUCUGGGGCCAGUGGGUCGAGGGCUAACUGCUUUCUCAAUGGCCGUCUUCAGAGACUUCUCCAUGAUAAGCCGCAGCGGUUCUCUUGUCCUUGCGAAGAUGGACACCGUCCCAGCAAAAGGCAGGUGAGAGCUGCUACUGCCUUCAACAUGUGCAAUGAAUGUCACCUCCCAGGAAUGGUCCUAAGCACACACCAGCUGCAACUCCUCCUGCUGCACCCAGAUAAAUGCCCAGGACAGGGAGUGCAAAUGCAAACCUCUGCCUUCCAGGAAAUUCAGCAAACCUUCUUCCCUGGGGUUUGUUCCAGGAAAAGGUGUGGCUCCACAGCAGUGGGCAGGGAUCCCAAAACCACAGGUGGAACUCUCCAACGACUGAAGAAGAGCUCUGAUGGCUCAGAGGAUGAGAGGACCUGUGAGGCUUUGGGGACCGUGGCGACAGCACCCUUAUCAGUCAGUGUCUACACGUGCCCGAUGCCAUAUGCUCGUGGGUUAAGGCAUUUUCUACAUACAUGUGUGGAUCUAUGUGGACAUGUGGAUCUAUGUGGAUCUAUGUGGAUUCAUAUGUGGACAUGAAUAUUGUAUUAUUUUGCUUGAGCUGCCUUAACAGAUACAACAAACUGGGUGGCUAACACAACAGACAUUCACAUCCUCACAGCUCUGGAGCUGGAAGCCCAAAACAAGGUGCCCUCCGAGGCCUCUCUCCGGGGCUUGCUGAUGCCACCUCCUCACCGUGUCCUCACAGGCCUUCCUUCUGGACACGUGUCCCUGGUGUCUCUGUGUGUCCAAAUUUUCCUUUCUUAUAAGGACCUAGUAAGACUGGAUUAGGGUCGGCCCUAAUGGCCUCAUUUUAAUUUAAUCACCUCUUUCAGACCGUAUCUCGAAACACCAUCACCUUCUGAGGUGCUGGGGUUUAGGAGUUAAAAUUACGACUUUGGUGGGGAGGACACAAUUCAGCUACAACAGAUAUAGACAGACAGACAGACAGUAGAUAGAUGGAUCCUAUAAAUGAAAUACAUAUUCAUAUUACAAAUGAAAAUGCCAAGAUGGCUUUUAGAGAUCUAAAUUCUGUAAUCAAUCAUGAUCCUCCAGGGUCUCAUCUCCUCAUAUAAUCUUAAUUUUCACCUCUAAGCAGAUGACACUUGUAGCCACAUCUUUAGUUCAAAUCUCUCUCCUGAAGGUCUGACUCACACUUGCAGUGUCCGACCGGACAUUUCCUCCCAGGCCUUUGGCAGGUUUCAGCGCACCUAAAACAAAAUGCGCCCUCCUUUCACAUGAAAUCUCUUCCUGCUGACCCUCCAGCCUCCCCAAGUCCUGCUGUCACCCACACCUCACCCCUCCUGCUCCAGAGGUGCCUUCUCUGUCUCCUCCCUCUCCUGUGACUCCUGAUGCAGGGAGCGACUGCGCAUAGACCUCUGAGGUCCUCCCGCCCAUCUGUUCCGUUGCAUUCCUGCUGCCCCCACCAUGGUUCAGGCUUUUCUUCCUCUGGGUGAGGAAUUCCAACAGCCACCUGUGCACCGGCCACACCCGGGCUCCCCCAACUCUAGUCCAGCCCUCACAUGGCACGUCCCGGCACGCAAAGCUUCGGUUGCUCUUCACUCUCCACUAAAUGCAAACUUCUCCUCCUGUGAUUCAGAGUUCUCUGUAACUGGGCAACUCUAUCUUCCACAGAGCCAAACAGCCGCACCUGCUCAUUCUGCCAAAGCACUGCUUUAGAAAACCCAUCCCAGGUCUCUUCAUCAAUAACACUGGUCGAACUUGCAGGCCCAGCAGGGGUUGUGGUAUAUUUCUUCCUGUAGAUUUGCUUUCCUCUCCCUCUUCCUUCCUUCUUUUCCCCUCCCAAUACACUCACACAAACAUGUGCAUGUGCACACACACACAUACACACACAAAGCAAUUACCUCUCUAAAUACAGAAGGACCCUUACCUGAAAUAAUCAGCAAAAAUCAAGGAUGUGCAGAUGUCAUACAAGGAGCAAAGGGGAAAAGAGAUGCACAGGGAAUAUAGGGAAAUCCCAAAUUUUAACCAAUAACCAACAUGACCCCUUGCUGCUACACUAACACAGGCAUCUGUGACACAAAUCCAUCCUCGGAAGGAUGAAUCGGGGCCAGAAAAGACUUUCCUGAGGCUGUCCAAAGGCAAGUAGAAUUCUUUUCCAAUGUCAAUGGGCCUUGAGACAGAAGUGAAUAUGCCUUAAAAUUAUGAGAAUUUCUUUUCCUUGACACCAAGGAGUUAAAUUUUAAAAAUGUGCAUUGUACACAACUAUUAGAGGAAAAGAGGAAGGGAAGAGAAUGUGGCCGUUUCCUUCCUCAGUCAAAAAGAAAA